rnacentral:rRNA from 1 species
UACGGAGGGUGCAAACGUUGCUCGGAAUCAUUGGGCGUAAAGCGCACGUAGGCGGCUCGUUAAGUCGGAUGUGAAAGCCCCGGGCUCAACCCGGGAAGUGCACUCGAAACUGGCGAGCUUGAGUAUGGAAGAGGGUCUCGGAAUUCCCGGUGUAGAGGUGAAAUUCGUAGAUAUCGGGAGGAACACCAGUGGCGAAGGCGGAGACCUGGGCCAAUACUGACGCUGAGGUGCGAAAGCGUGGGGAGCAAACAGG